rfam:Human gut metagenome DNA, contig sequence: F2-V_002679.
CAACAGAGUAAGGCUAUGCGCGUCAAGUGCCGCAUCAACGGGGAGUUGUGCUGCGGACGAAGGGAGACCCGCGGUGCAUGGCCUGCAUCCCGCUGCUG